rnacentral:lncRNA from 1 species
CCGCAGCAACUGAAUCUUUGAUUGGAGCGACGGUGUCAUUUGAAUUCGAACAACAGCGUGGUGCGGCUGUGGUGCUACGGUGAGAUUCGAACGGAUUCACGCGCAUAUUUCAUUUUUCCAUUUAGGUAUUCAAGUGUUUGAGUUGAUGGCUCUAUAAAGCCAAAUAAAUAAAUAAAUAAAUAAUAAUAAUAAUAAUCUAUU